UACAGAGGUCUCAAGCGUUUGUUCGGAUUCAUUGGGCGUAAAGGGUGCGUAGGCGGCGCGGUAAGUCGGGUGUGAAAUCUCGGAGCUUAACUCCGAAACUGCAUUCGAUACUGCCGUGCUUGAGGACUGGAGAGGAGACUGGAAUUUACGGUGUAGCAGUGAAAUGCGUAGAUAUCGUGAGGAACACCAGAGGCGAAGGCGGCUACCUGGACAAUUGCUGACGCUCAGGCACGAAAGCGUGGGGAGCAAAAGGG
rnacentral:rRNA from 1 species